rnacentral:rRNA from 1 species
CACGUAGGGUGCGAGCGUUGUGCGGAAUUAUUGGGCGUAAAGAGCUCGUAGGCGGUGUGUCGCGUCGGCCGUGAAAACCUGCAGCUUAACUGUGGGCUUGCGGUCGAUACGGGCAUCACUGGAGUUCGGCAGGGGAGACUGGAAUUCCUGGUGUAGCGGUGAAAUGCGCAGAUAUCAGGAGGAACACCGGUGGCGAAGGCGGGUCUCUGGGCCGAUACUGACGCUGAGGAGCGAAAGCGUGGGGAGCGAACAGG